rnacentral:rRNA from 1 species
UACGGGAGGCAGCAGUGGGGAAUAUUGCACAAUGGGCGCAAGCCUGAUGCAGCCAUGCCGCGUGUAUGAAGAAGGCCUUCGGGUUGUAAAGUACUUUCAGUCGUGAGGAAGGUGUUAAGGUUAAUACCUUAGCAAUUGACGUUAGCGACAGAAGAAGCACCGGCUAACUCCGUGCCAGCAGCCGCGGUAAUACGGAGGGUGCGAGCGUUAAUCGGAAUUACUGGGCGUAAAGGGCACGCAGGCGGUUAAUUAAGUUGGAUGUGAAAUCCCCGGGCGUUAACCUGGGAAUGGCAUUCAAGACUGGUUAGCUAGAGUCUUGUAGAGGGGGUGAAUUCCAUGUGUAGCGGUGAAAUGCGUAGAGAUGUGGAGGAAUACCGGUGGCGAAGGCGGCCCCUGGACAAAGACUGACGCUCAUGUGCGAAAGCGUGGGGAGCAAACAGGGAUUAG